AGCUCCAAUAGCGUAUAUUAAAGUUGUUGCGGUUAAAAGCUCGUAGUUGGAUUUCUGCUUGGGCCGACCGGUCCGCCCUCUGGGUGUGUAUCUGGCUUGUGCCCGGGCAUCCGCUUGUGGAACGUUCCUGCACUUGAUUUGUGUGGGCCGGAACGCAAGCCUUUCACUUUGAGGAAAUUAGAGUGUUUCAAGCAGGCUUUUGCCUUGAAUACGCUAGCAUGGAAUGAUAAGAUAGGACCUCGUCCCAUCCUUGUUGGUUCGAUGAGAUGAGGUAAUGAUUAAUAGGGAUAGUCGGGGGCAUUCG
rnacentral:rRNA from 1 species